rnacentral:lncRNA from 1 species
AGUACAAGCCCUACACAGCCCUCGACAUCCCCAAGGACCUGCGGGUGACCCUCCUCUCUAACGCCCCCAACCCAUACGGGGUCCUGCAGUCCAAAGCUACGGGGGAGCCCCCGCUGUGCAUGUCGUACGCGGUGGUGGGGGCGCUGCGCCAGGCCAUCGCGGCCGCCAGGGCGGACGCCGGCACCCGCGGCUGGUUCGAGAUACCUCUGCCGCUGACGGUCGAGCGCAUCCAGCAGCUCUGCCUCACCGACGCCUCAAAGUUCGAACUCUGAGCCCGCAGCCCCCGACACUUGCGGUGAUCCUGAGUGAUGUGGAGAUCCUGAGUGAUGUG